UUAAGUUAUUAAGGGCGCACGGUGGAUGCCUUGGCACUAGAAGCCGAUGAAGGACGUUACUAACGACGAUAUGCUUUGGGGAGCUGUAAGUAAGCUUUGAUCCAGAGAUUUCCGAAUGGGGAAACCCAGCAUGAGUUAUGUCAUGUUAUCGAUAUGUGAAUACAUAGCAUAUCAGAAGGCACACCCGGAGAACUGAAACAUCUUAGUAACCGGAGGAAGAGAAAGAAAAUUCGAUUCCCUUAGUAGCGGCGAGCGAAACGGGAAGAGCCCAAACCAACAAGCUUGCUUGUUGGGGUUGUAGGACACUCUAUACGGAGUUACAAAGGACGACAUUAGACGAAUCAUCUGGAAAGAUGAAUCAAAGAAGGUAAUAAUCCUGUAGUCGAAAAUGUUGUCUCUCUUGAGUGGAUCCUGAGUACGACGGAGCACGUGAAAUUCCGUCGGAAUCUGGGAGGACCAUCUCCUAAGGCUAAAUACUCUCUAGUGACCGAUAGUGAACCAGUACCGUGAGGGAAAGGUGAAAAGCACCCCGGAAGGGGAGUGAAAUAGAACCUGAAACCGUGUGCUUACAAGUAGUCAGAGCCCGUUAAUGGGUGAUGGCGUGCCUUUUGUAGAAUGAACCGGCGAGUUACGAUUUGAUGCAAGGUUAAGCAGUAAAUGUGGAGCCGUAGCGAAAGCGAGUCUGAAUAGGGCGUUUAGUAUUUGGUCGUAGACCCGAAACCAGGUGAUCUACCCUUGGUCAGGUUGAAGUUCAGGUAACACUGAAUGGAGGACCGAACCGACUUACGUUGAAAAGUGAGCGGAUGAACUGAGGGUAGCGGAGAAAUUCCAAUCGAACCUGGAGAUAGCUGGUUCUCUCCGAAAUAGCUUUAGGGCUAGCCUCAAGUGAUGAUUAUUGGAGGUAGAGCACUGUUUGGACGAGGGGCCCCUCUCGGGUUACCGAAUUCAGACAAACUCCGAAUGCCAAUUAAUUUAACUUGGGAGUCAGAACAUGGGUGAUAAGGUCCGUGUUCGAAAGGGAAACAGCCCAGACCACCAGCUAAGGUCCCAAAAUAUAUGUUAAGUGGAAAAGGAUGUGGCGUUGCCCAGACAACUAGGAUGUUGGCUUAGAAGCAGCCAUCAUUUAAAGAGUGCGUAAUAGCUCACUAGUCGAGUGACACUGCGCCGAAAAUGUACCGGGGCUAAACAUAUUACCGAAGCUGUGGAUUGUCCUUUGGACAAUGGUAGGAGAGCGUUCUAAGGGCGUUGAAGCAUGAUCGUAAGGACAUGUGGAGCGCUUAGAAGUGAGAAUGCCGGUGUGAGUAGCGAAAGACGGGUGAGAAUCCCGUCCACCGAUUGACUAAGGUUUCCAGAGGAAGGCUCGUCCGCUCUGGGUUAGUCGGGUCCUAAGCUGAGGCCGACAGGCGUAGGCGAUGGAUAACAGGUUGAUAUUCCUGUACCACCUAUAAUCGUUUUAAUCGAUGGGGGGACGCAGUAGGAUAGGCGAAGCGUGCGAUUGGAUUGCACGUCUAAGCAGUAAGGCUGAGUAUUAGGCAAAUCCGGUACUCGUUAAGGCUGAGCUGUGAUGGGGAGAAGACAUUGUGUCUUCGAGUCGUUGAUUUCACACUGCCGAGAAAAGCCUCUAGAUAGAAAAUAGGUGCCCGUACCGCAAACCGACACAGGUAGUCAAGAUGAGAAUUCUAAGGUGAGCGAGCGAACUCUCGUUAAGGAACUCGGCAAAAUGACCCCGUAACUUCGGGAGAAGGGGUGCUCUUUAGGGUUAACGCCCAGAAGAGCCGCAGUGAAUAGGCCCAAGCGACUGUUUAUCAAAAACACAGGUCUCUGCUAAACCGUAAGGUGAUGUAUAGGGGCUGACGCCUGCCCGGUGCUGGAAGGUUAAGAGGAGUGGUUAGCUUCUGCGAAGCUACGAAUCGAAGCCCCAGUAAACGGCGGCCGUAACUAUAACGGUCCUAAGGUAGCGAAAUUCCUUGUCGGGUAAGUUCCGACCCGCACGAAAGGCGUAA
rnacentral:rRNA from 1 species